UAUAUGUGUAUACGAAAGUGUAUUUGCAUAAACAACCCGAAUAGGAGAGUCCGAUUCGCAUAGGUCCAUUAGUCUAAAAGUUAGGAGAAUUGCACCGGGGGUCUCCUUCAAGUUUGGCCGCUAGCAUUGUCGAUCCGGUGGUCUCCUUCGAGUUUGGCCGCUUGCGCCAUCGAUCUCGAGACCCAUCGACGCAAUCGGUGUGGAUACCGAUAGAGUAGUGAUACUUGGAGCUUUAAAUUGACGAACCAGAAUCAAUACAUCAUGAUACGUCGCAAUUAGCAAGAGCACACGAAGCAGGACCUGAAUCUACAAUGUUCUAUGCAAAAGAAUGGGGGAAAGGAUUCUGGUUCCGACAGGCUCCUUUGUGACCACUGUGGUCGCACGGGACAUUUGAAGAGUACUUGUUGGCUGCUGCACGUGAAUCCCUCGACUUUUUUUUUUUUGCUGAAAUGUAUCCCUCGACUUGGGAAUAGCAAGGAAAGUCUGGGCAGAACUCGAAGGGGCCAUCACAGCAGUGGAAGCAGAAGAAGUCUGCAGGAAGAUUCAUGGGUGAAGGACCAGCAAAACAACAAGGCCGACAGUCGGCACAAUAGGCCAAUGCAGCGUAGACAAGUCUAGCGAGCAACAGCACAACAGGAAGCCUAGCGAGUAGCAGCACAACCGGGCAGCUCUCUCGUCUGUCAGAGGUCCAAUUUCAACGCAUUUUGAGCAUGGUUAGGCCUGAUGAUGGUGAUGUUGAGCCACUCAAAGGCAACAUCUUUAUUUUGAUUAAUCGUGGAAAUGAUUAGAUAAUUGACAGAAGAGACACGAGACACAUGAUGACAUGAUGCUCGAGUAAUUUUGAGAAACCGUAGGUUGUUAGUGGAAAUUAUCCAGUGACUAUCCCGAAUGGAAACUCAAUUCAAGCAACGAGAAUCGGGAAAGUGAAGAUUGGGAGUCACUGAAUGUGUUGCUUGUGCCCAAUUUUAAUUGCAACUUGAUGUCGGUUGCACAGUUGUCCGUUGAUCUGGAUUACCAUGUGACCUUCCUUCAUAAUUUGUGCAUGAUACAGGACCGAACCUCGAGGAGGAUGCUUGAAGUGAGUGAGCUAGAAGGAGGCUCUAUUAUCUGAGACCUCACUACUCAGGUUAUCAAGUAGUGGAGAUUAAGCAUACGGACAUAUGGCACCAACGACUUGGCAUCCUUAAUGUCGCAUUUGAGUUUGAGGGUAUUAAUCACAUUCAAGUUUGAGAGAGAGAGAGAUUUUGUGGAAUUGCGGCAGAGCGGCGGCUGGGAGAGGAGAAACAGGCCCAUUUUUUACAUCAGUUCAAUCCCUAAUCCCUUAAAAAUUAUAUCAAUUUGUUUUUGGAGGUUUGUAACUGUAUCUUCGUCAUCUAUAGUAUCGUCGGUGGCGGAGAAAACUUACGGAACCAUAUAGGUACAUUUUACGUACGGUGGAACAUAAUAAUUCUACGGAAGAUCCCCCCAUCUAUUGUGAUGGGAGGAUCCUAUCUUGGAUGUCUUCAGCAGCCGGAUGAACCACAUGAUGGUGGUGCUCAUGUCAUGAAUGGAGCAGGAGGAGUAGCAGGGGGGUAGUCAGCGGCAGCGGAAUCCCACGGCUUGCGGCCCCAAUGACCACUGACUCCUCCAACGAACCCGAUGGAGCCUGUUGACCCGAAGACCCACCUCGCU